rnacentral:rRNA from 1 species
UACGUAUGGUGCAAGCGUUAUCCGGAUUUACUGGGUGUAAAGGGAGCGUAGACGGAUAGGCAAGUCUGGAGUGAAAACCCGGGGCUCAACCCCGGGACUGCUUUGGAAACUGUUUAUCUAGAGUGCUGGAGAGGUAAGUGGAAUUCCUAGUGUAGCGGUGAAAUGCGUAGAUAUUAGGAGGAACACCAGUGGCGAAGGCGGCUUACUGGACUGAAACUGACACUGAGGCACGAAAGUGUGGGGAGCAAACAGG